UCCUGGGAUGCUGUCACCAGAGAAGCUGCCUUGCCCUAUGAUGCCACCAGAGGGGCUGUGGCUGUCCCUGGGGGAUGCCAUCACCAGAGAUGACAACCUGCUCCUGUGACCUCUCCAGAAUGAGGCGCUUUGGCAAUGUCACCACCAAACGCCACCCACGGGGGUGGUGAUGACACCAGGGGACACCUCACUGCUGUUGCCAUGUGUGAGAGGGCGAGGCAUGAUACUGAGCCAGGACCACCCUGUCCUGAGAUGUCACCUAAGUGUCACCACUCAGAGGCCACCCUCUGGGACCAGUCUCCACCAGUGAGGACUGUGUGGCUGUCGGCUGUUGACAGUGACGCUCCACGUUUCAGCGUGAUCACCAAGAGCUUCCCCUCAGAGGCAGUGUCUGCUCAGAACACCCAUCACUGGUGACGGUGUCACCAGAGUUUCUGCCCCAUCCCACUACGACUUGGCUUGGUGGCUCCUUCCCUGACCCCAGGGAUAUGACCACCAUGAUGCCUGCCAGAGCCUCUAAAGGGAGGUUGGGCCCCUGUGCAGUGACUCCUAGGAGCGGUGUCCCUAGAUGGGCUUCUGCUCCAAGGAGCCCACUCUGACCCACCUAGCUUCUGGAGCUGUGGCACUUGUCAGUAGCCUGAGAGCUGUGUCACUUCUCUCUGCCACAUGUAGAGACAUCACCAACUCUGUCAGCAAAGUCCUAGCCUCCUACUGGAGGGGGAGGGUUGGGGUGUGCCUGCUAUUGAUCUUGGCCAGGACAUCAUCAGUAGUGUCCACCACUCAUGAUGACAUAGCACUUGGGGUCAAAUGUUAACCAGUCAUUUGCCAGGAUUCCCUAUGACCCACCUCAACCAUCCUCUUUUUCCAGGAUUUUCCAUAAUUAAUACUGUCAUCAUUUCCCAAGAUUCCCUACAGCUAGUGGUGUCACCAUCUCUCAGGAUCCAGCACAAGCAUGGUGUCAUUAUAUCCUAGAAUUGACCAUAACCAGUGAUGUCCUUGCCUUCUAAAUCCGUUAUGCCUACUGGUGACCUUCUCUAUCAGGACCCAUUAAGACUGAUGAUGCCAGAAUUUUUUCCCAGAAUUCCCUUUGAUUACCUCCCAGGAUCUGCUUUACCCACGUCUCCACGUCCCAGGACCCACCAUACUUUGGGGUUAUCACCUCCUAAGAUCCUCUCCAGUCACAGAGUCCUCCAUGCCCCCCAAUCCACCACAACUGUGGUGUGCUCAUCUCCCAGGAGCCAUGAGAGCCAAUGGUGUCUAAUCAACCUCAGUGUCUUCGUGACCUGUGAUACGUGAUGGUACCUAAUAAUUCAUCAUCUUCUUCCAAGAUCUGUGGGAGCCAUGGUGUUUCCACCUCCCAAGAUCCACUUCCACCAUGUGCCAUUACCUCCCAUCCCUGGGGGAUGCCAUGACCAGAGACGACAUCCAAGAUCUGUGUCACCAUGUGUCCAGAUCCAUGAGAGUCAACAGUAUCAGCACCUCCUAGAGCCCACUGCAGCCAUGUUCUCAUCAUCUCCGAGGAGUUAUCACCAC
rnacentral:lncRNA from 1 species